rnacentral:rRNA from 1 species
CCUACGGGUGGCUGCAGUGGGGAAUAUUGGACAAUGGGGGGAACCCUGAUCCAGCCAUGCCGCGUGUGUGAAGAAGGCCCUCGGGUUGUAAAGCACUUUCAGUGAGGAAGAACGCCUGGUGGUUAAUACCCAUCAGGAAAGACAUCACUCACAGAAGAAGCACCGGCUAACUCCGUGCCAGCAGCCGCGGUAAUACGGAGGGUGCGAGCGUUAAUCGGAAUUACUGGGCGUAAAGCGCGCGUAGGUGGCUUGAUAAGCCGGUUGUGAAAGCCCCGGGCUCAACCUGGGAACGGCAUCCGGAACUGUCAAGCUAGAGUGCAGGAGAGGAAGGUAGAAUUCCCGGUGUAGCGGUGAAAUGCGUAGAGAUCGGGAGGAAUACCAGUGGCGAAGGCGGCCUUCUGGACUGACACUGCCACUGAGGUGCGAAAGCGUGGGUAGCAAACAGGAUUAGAUACCCCGGUAGUC